UACGAAGGGGGCUAGCGUUGCUCGGAAUCACUGGGCGUAAAGCGCACGUAGGCGGCUUCUUAAGUCAGGGGUGAAAUCCUGGAGCUCAACUCCAGAACUGCCUUUGAUACUGAGGAGCUUGAGUCCGGGAGAGGUGAGCGGAACUGCGAGUGUAGAGGUGAAAUUCGUAGAUAUUCGCAAGAACACCAGUGGCGAAGGCGGCUCACUGGCCCGGUACUGACGCUGAGGUGCGAAAGCGUGGGGAGCAAACAGG
rnacentral:rRNA from 1 species